rnacentral:rRNA from 1 species
CGGGGGUGAUGCCUGUGGAAUGAGCGGCGGACGGGUGAGUAACACGUGGGCAACCUGCCUGUAAGAUCGGAAUAACUCCGGGAAACCGGGGCUAAUGCCGGGUAAUCCUUUUUCUCGCAUGGGAGAGAGGUAAAAGAUGGCCUUUGGCUAUCACUUACAGAUGGGCCCGCGACGCAUUAGCUAGUUGGUGAGGUAAUAGCUCACCAAGGCGACGAUGCGUAGCCGACCUGAGAGGGUGAUCGGCCACACUGGGACUGAGACACGGCCCAGAYUCYUACGGGAGGCAGCAGUAGGGAAUCUUCCGCAAUGGACGAAAGUCUGACGGAGCAACGCCGCGUGAACGAUGAAGGUCUUCGGAUCGUAAAGUUCUGUUGUUAGGGAAGAACAAGUACCGUGCGAAUAGAGCGGUACCUUGACGGUACCUAACGAGGAAGCCCCGGCUAACUACGUGCCAGCAGCCGCGGUAAUACGUAGGGGGCAAGCGUUGUCCGGAAUUAUUGGGCGUAAAGCGCGCGCAGGCGGUUUCUUAAGUCUGAUGUGAAAGCCCACGGCUCAACCGUGGAGGGUCAUUGGAAACUGGGGAACUUGAGGACAGAAGAGGAGAGUGGAAUUCCACGUGUAGCGGUGAAAUGCGUAGAUAUGUGGAGGAACACCAGUGGCGAAGGCGACUCUCUGGUCUGUUUCUGACGCUGAGGUGCGAAAGCGUGGGUAGCAAACAGGAUUAGAUACCCUGGUAGUCCACGCCGUAAACGAUGAGUGCUAGGUGUUAGGGGGCUUCCACCCCUUAGUGCUGAAGUUAACGCAUUAAGCACUCCGCCUGGGGAGUACGGCCGCAAGGCUGAAACUCAAAGGAAUUGACGGGGGCCCGCACAAGCGGUGGAGCAUGUGGUUUAAUUCGAAGCAACGCGAAGAACCUUACCAGGUCUUGACAUCCUUGGACCGCCCUAGAGAUAGGGUCUUCCCUUCGGGGACCAAGUGACAGGUGGUGCAUGGUUGUCGUCAGCUCGUGUCGUGAGAUGUUGGGUUAAGUCCCGCAACGAGCGCAACCCCUAAUCUUAGUUGCCAGCAUUCAGUUGGGCACUCUAAGGUGACUGCCGGUGACAAACCGGAGGAAGGCGGGGAUGACGUCAAAUCAUCAUGCCCCUUAUGACCUGGGCUACACACGUGCUACAAUGGAUGGUACAAAGGGCAGCGA